CUACGGGGGGCACCAGUGAGGAAUAUUGGACAAUGGGGGAAACCCUGAUCCAGCAAUGCCGCGUGAAUGAAGAAGGCCUUCGGGUUGUAAAGUUCUUUCACUCGUGACGAUGAUGACGGUAGCGAGAGAAGAAGCUCCGGCUAACUCUGUGCCAGCAGCCGCGGUAAGACAGAGGGAGCUAGCGUUGUUCGGAAUUACUGGGCGUAAAGGGUGCGUAGGCGGUUGUCUAAGUAGAGUGUUAAAGCCCUGGGCUCAACCCAGGAAUUGCGCUCUAAACUGGACGGCUAGAGUAUGAUAGAGGAAAGCGGAAUUCCUAGUGUAGAGGUGAAAUUCGUAGAUAUUAGGAGGAACACCAGAGGCGAAGGCGGCUUUCUGGGUCAUAACUGACGCUGAGGCACGAAAGCGUGGGGAGCAAACAGGAUUAGAUACCCCAGUAGUC
rnacentral:rRNA from 1 species